ACGCUUGAAGUCAGUCGCGUCGGCCGAGACUCAGCCUUGCCUCGGCUUGGUGUAUUUCUUGGCCGACGGGUCAGCAUCGAUUUCGCCCCUUGGAUAAUGGUGAGGGAAAUGUGACACCUUUAUAGGUGUGUUAUAGUCUCUCGUCGCAUGCAAGGGUCGGGAUCGAGGAACUCAGCAUGCACCUUCGGGUGUCGGGACUUUUGUCCACGAUACAUGCUUAGGAUGUUGGCGUAAUGGCUUUAAACGACCCGUCUUGAAACACGGACCAAGGAGUC
rnacentral:rRNA from 1 species